GCAGUUAGACGAAAAAGCUUUAGUGCCGGGGAAUGAAUCUCUCUGAAAGCAAAACAACAACAUCCUUUAUCCUCCAAUUGCAUUCAAGUAAUUAGAAAAAAUAAGACUAAACAUUAGCUUGAUUAAGCCCGGGGAAAAAAGAUAUAAAAAAAGAACAUAGGUAAGUAGAACCAACCACGAACGGACUGAGAAUAGGAGAGUUUCAUCUUAUGCUUGUUUCUUUUUGCUCCUACUUGCUUGCUGUGUUUGCUGAUAAUUUCUAGGCAGUGGAAAAUCAGACCUCAACAACCUGAGAAUAGGAGAGUUUGUAGUGAUUUUUGGAAAAUUGAUAAGCUCAGGGAUAUGGUUGACGAAGAAGAGGAUAAGAAAAGAGAGAUUGAAGGCGGAUCUUCU
rnacentral:lncRNA from 1 species